GGCAGCUUUAGGCUAAACUUAAUUUAACAAGAUGUAAUUAAGAUUCAAUGAUAUUAUGGUUUGGAUGUGUCCCCACCUGAAUCUCAUCUUGAACUGUAGCUCCCAUAAUCCCCACGUCAUGGGAGGGACCGAGUAGGAGGUCAAAUGGAUCAUACAAUCUGCAAUAUGGUUGAGUGAUAGGCCUCCAAAGGAAGCAACUGGACAUCGGCCAGCUGAAGAGGUCAGCCAGAGGAUCCUACUAUGGUCGUUAAGAAUUGUGGACUUUUCUUUUUGCACAUGCACCACAGAAAAACCAAGAUGCUCCAAUGCUGUCAGUAAAAGCAAGCCCAGGAUAGGGAGAUGUUGUCACUUUUAGGAGUGUGAACUGAAGACAUCCAUAUUCACAUCUAGUUCGGCUCACUUGUCAUCUGCAUCUCUGGCACCAAGUUCUUUUCCCUCUGUGUGAACGGAAUUUCUUUUGGUGAACUCUGAUGAAGCUUCUGAGAAAAACUUCUGGCCACAAGUUUACUACGUCUGUACUUCACCAUUGUUUUCUUUCUCUGUGAUUUUUUUGAAGUUCUUCAUAAACUGAAGAACAAGUUGGAAGUUCACAUGAGGUGAGAAAGCUGAAAUUACACAGAUUAGGGGUUUCACCUUCUGCUGCAGACUGCUGCCCAAUCAGCUGACGUUCUCUGGGGACACACCUGCCCUUUGCUGAGGCUGUGGAUGGGAACUCAUUGUGAGAUUUUUUUGCCAUGUGUGGAUGGGCUCUGCAAGGUUGCAAGAAACAAAGUCAAAAAAUGGGAAUUUGUGGAAAGGGGGCAAAAUCCUCACCAUUCUACCAGUGCUUGGAUGUCCGCCUGGGCUGAACCAUGAGAGACCAAGCUCAGGCACUUUGGUUGAGCUUGGCCAGGGGGAUACCUCGUCCCUGGAAUUUGCAGACAUGACCCCAGUUGUGUUCCAGCAGACUGCCCAGAUAUCUGCAGACCUUACUGCUCCAGAUCCUGACUUCUUUCCAGUUCCGCUCUGGGCCAGACCUGUUGCAAAUAUGCAGGAUGGACCCUAAGAAAAUGUCACUAAACUGAGAGGCGAUCCUUCAAAUACAAAGCAACCUCUCCAGUAGGAAUGCUGUGCUGAAUUCAUGAACAUCUCUAAGUUCUUAGAGCAUCAGAAAAUCUGCACUAAAAUUCAUCUGUCCUCCUCAGGAAUGGCAGUGAAGGGCUAAUGCUUUCAUUUGACUUCUCCAGAACUGAGCUGAGCAAUUGCAUGGUCCAGGCUGUGACAACUGUCACAUGGAGAAUGGUGGCAGCCCAAGGGAUACAUAGAGAAACUAAAUGUGGAGUGGAGAUAUUCUUGAAGACAGAGCCAGCCCUAAUACACAUAUCCCAGACAUGAGCAAUUCACACCACAGCAAGGGCUCCAGCAUGAAUGUGGCUUUAGAAUGAAUCCGUGGGCACGUGGUUGGUGCCAGCCCCUUUGUUUGGUGCCAUCACAUCCAUGCUUCUCAGGCACAUUCUGUGUUUGCUGCUGCUGCAGAUCCCACUCACCAAACAGAUCCACAUUCAAAUGAACAUAUGAGGUCCCCACGCCCUCCACCCCAUCAAGACUGAAGCUCUUACUCCAAAGACAUUGAACACCCCUGGUCCCAGGUAAUUUCCGCUGCUGCAUCUUGCACAACCCAAAGAGGUGUAAGCCAAGACUUGAUUGUGGAACCUAAGAGGGAAGACAAGCUCUUCAUGAUAACCUGCCUACCACCACCAGCUCUAGGUCCACAGGGCUGAUGCCCCAUAAGGGAAUGGAGCUCAUGAAUGUGUAUUGUACCUUCCGGGUGUUUUGCUGCCUUGCACGUCAAGCUCUGCAGCCUUCCAGAUCCCCUUGUUCUCUGACUGAGAAAGGGAAAAGGAAGCGAUUGAACAUUCCUGCAGUGAUAUUACUACAGUCUGAAUGUCUGUGUCCUCUCCCAAAUGCACAUGUUGCAAUUGAAUCCUGUGAUGGUUAAUAGUGAGUGUCAACUUGAUUGGAUUGAAGGAUGCAAAGUAUUGUUCUGGGUAUGGCUGUGAGUCAGUGGACUGAGAGAGGCAGACCUACCAUCAAUCUGGGUGGGCACAAUUUAAUCAGACCACCAGUACAGCCAGAAUAAAAGUAGGCAGAGGAAUGUGGAAAGACUAGGCUGGCUGAGUCUUCUGGCUGCCAUCUUUCUCUUGUGCUGGGUGCUUCCUGCCCUCAAACAUCAGACUCCAAGUUCUUCAGCUUUUGGACUCUUGGACUUAACACCAGUGGUUUGCCAGGCGCUUUCAGGCCUUCGGCAACAGACUGAAGGCUGCACCAUUGGCUACCCUACUUUUGGGGGUUUGGGACUUGAACUGGCUUUUUUGCUCCUCAGCUUGCAGAUAACCUUUUGUGGGACUUCACCUUGUGAUCAGGAAUGGCCAGAAUUGCAAAUGAGAAUAAGAGCUAUGCCUCCUUCCUCCCUCAACAGUAAAAUGACGCA
rnacentral:lncRNA from 1 species